rnacentral:lncRNA from 1 species
GUUUGAGUUAGAUGCUUACAGUUGAGAUAAAUGAAAGGGUAGGUAAAAUUCAGUGACAAUAUUCAAAUAAGUUUAGCUUCCCCUGCUAAAAAGUAAAGAUCUCUGACCUGUUAUCUAUGGCUGCAGUCAAACUGAAAGAGGAAUCUGAUGCUUGCUUUGCUGGAAGUACUCCCUGAAACAUUACUUCCUGCCACACAAGCAGAAUGAAUGCUCAGUUAUUUGACCAAAAUGUUUAUGCCUGAGGAUAUUCUGUCAUUCUUCUCAUCAUGAUCUCAAUUCUGUGAAGAUGUGCUUGUAAUACAUACGCUAGGCAUAUGUUUUACAAGUUAUGAACUGUGAAUUCCUUGCAAAGAGAAUUGAUUUGGCAGUUGAGUGAGCUGAGGUAUAAAACAGAAGGCCAAAAUCUACAUAACUAUUUAUGACUGUAGCUCCUUUCUGGGCACCAACACUUACCAUGAAAUUGAUGGGAGGAUAGGAACCUAAAUAUGGAUUCUGGCUUGUAUCUUCUUGAUCCCAGUGCUUUGUCUUUAUAGCUGCUUUUUCUCUAACCUCCAUAUUUCCUGGAGUCCUGACUGACAACUAUUUCAAGGCUCAAUUUGUGAUACAAGAAUGAAGGAGGGUAGUUGUUUCUGGGCUCCAGCUACUGAGAUUCUGUGUUGACAGAAUGUGGUGUCUAAUGCGUCUUGCAGUUUAUAUGGGAGGUAAAUCAUUACUCUACUUUGAAGGUGCUCUUGGACUGGUCCUCACGUGAACUUGGCUGUCUAUCAGCAGCAUGACUACACAGUUUAGGAAAGUCUGCAUUGAGCUCAAGUGUCAAUCAGAUAAAUUUGGGGAAGAACUUUUUGCCUGAAGAUGCUACUUACGUCAUUUCACCAGCACAUACACUGGAUUGGUUAACAUCAUCUACACACCAACCUUGUUCUACUUCCAGAUACUUUGCAGACAACCCUUUCAAAGUUGAUUAUGGCUGUGGAAGGUCCCUAAGUACAGGUGAUGAAGAGAUUUGCUGAUUAAAGAGGCCCACCUGUGACUCUCACUCUACAGCUCCCAGUACUACAACUGUAAUGUGUGAGUUCGGUCCUUUUGAAAACAAUGUGGCAAAACUGUGGUGAUUCAGGUCUUCUAAAGUAAUUUGAUUAUAAAGGAAUUAAUGUCCUUGAUGAUCACUUAACACGUUAAAACUGUAUGAAGUUGCAAACAGGUUCUGUAAUAGAACACCAAGUACAUUGUUCAUGGGCU